UACCUGAUUGAUUCUGUCAGCGCUAUAUGCUCAGUUAAAAGAUUAAGCCAUGCAUGUCGAGUUCAACUUUUCAAGUGAAACUGCGAACGGCUCAUUAGAGCUGAUGUAAUUUAUUCGGAAUUAUUCGAAUGGAUAACUGCGGUAAUUCUGGAGCUAAUACAUGCGAUAGAACCCUGACUUUUGAAAGGGUGCAAUUAUUAGAGCAAAUCAGUGAUCUUCGGAUGUAUAGUUUGUUGACUCUGAAUAACGCAGCAUAUCGGCGGCAUAGUUCGCCGAUAUUCCGAAUAAGUGUCUGCCCUAUCAACCUGAUGGUAGUCUAUUAGUCUACCAUGGUUAUUACGGGUAACGGAGAAUAAGGGUUCGACUCCGGAGAGGGAGCCUUAGAAACGGCUACCACAUCCAAGGAAGGCAGCAGGCGCGAAACUUAUCCAAUCUUGAAGAGAUGA
rnacentral:ncRNA from 1 species